UACAGAGGUCCCAAGCGUUGUUCGGAUUCAUUGGGCGUAAAGGGUGCGUAGGUGGCAUGGUAAGUCGGGUGUGAAAUCCCGGGGCUCAACCCCGGAACUGCACUCGAUACUGCCGUGCUGGAGUACUGGAGAGGAGACUGGAAUUUACGGUGUAGCAGUGAAAUGCGUAGAUAUUGGGAAGAACACCGGUGGCGAAGGCGGCUCACUGGCUCAUAUCUGACGCUCAGGCGCGACAGCGUGGGGAUCAAACAGG
rnacentral:rRNA from 1 species